UGAUGGUUGCUUAAUGUCGAGUGGUCAAUAUUACCUUGUGCUAGAUUGACUGAUUUUUGUUUGUUAUAAUAAAUAACUUGUUUGCUUAUUGUCUAGUGUCAUAUAUUACUGUUAGUAUGAUCAAUUGUUGUUUGCUUCACGUCAAAUGGUCAGUAUUAUACUGUAAGAUUGACUGAUUGUUGGUUGCUUAAUGUCCAAUAAGAACUAAAAGUGUUUUAUUGACUGAAGGUUUAACGUCCAGUGGCAUAUAUUACAGUAAGAUUGAUUGUUGGUUGCUUAACAUCCAGUGGCAAACAUGUCAGUGUUAGAUUGACUGAUUGUUGUUUGCUAAACCUCCUGUGGCAAAUAUUACUUGAUGUAAGACGGAAGGGGACCAGCAUGCAUUUAAAAUC
rnacentral:lncRNA from 1 species